CAGCACUCAGCUGUUGCUGCUGCUGCCUGGCCUUUUCCUGCUGCCUGCUCUGGAGCACCAACCCCAGCAGGAUGAGCACUGCUGCGCCAGUGGAGACUAACAGAGACACUGUGGUGGCGAUGGAAGUGGACAUGGUGCUGAAUGAGGAAGAGAUGAUGGAGGUGGACGUGGAAGACCAGGUUGAGGAGAUGGAAGUUGAUGAGGAGGAUGACAUCGAGGCGAUGGAAGUGGAUGAGAAGGAUGAGGAGGAGCCCAUGGUCCUUGGAUGAAGAUGGAGCCCCACAAGACUGAUGCAGAUGAUGGCUGUAGAUAUUACGGCGGUGUAUAUAUGUUUGAAAAGUUAGGAUAUUUUUGUAAAUAUGUUCUUAGGUUAGUAGUUCUUUGUAAAUAUGUUUUGAAGAUUGUUACUCCAUAGGAUCCCAUGGAAAUAUGUGCAGUAGAUUGUUGUUGUUGUU